CGUGAGCGGGCCGGGGCCGGAGCCGGGCCGACGCCCCAGCGGCGCCUCUCCCACGCUCGCGGCCCCUCCCCCUCCCUUCCUUCCUUCCCCUCGGAUCUCCCGGGAGCGGCGGGCGGACGCGAGCCGCGGCGGGCGCCCGAUCUUUGUGCGCGCCCGCGGGUCCAGGGCGAGCUUCGGGCGGCCCAACUUGGCGGCGGCCGGCGGGCUCCCGGGAGGGAGUUGUGAGGCGUGGCCGGGUGGAGGAGGCGCCUGGGGGGGCGUGGGGCUCCCCGGCGAGCGGGAGGGACAGAGCGAGGCGCGCCGGACAAUGAGCUGGGCAGCUCGGCGCUGCGGCCACUUUUAAGGGGGCGCGGGCCGGCCGGCGCCUCCGCGGCUCCACCUGCGAGGAGAGGGCGGGAUGCCAGAGUUGGGUGUCCCCGCGCUCUGAGGCUGCUCGCAGUUAGACGUCCCUGAGCCGGUGCUCGCCUUGACCCUGGGCUACCUGCAGGCUUUGGCUGGGACGUGUUUCGUGGGGGCGCCCCUGGAGCAGCCGUGAUGGCCAGCACCAGGAGUAUCGAGCUGGAACACUUUGAGGAACGGGACAAAAGGCCGCGGCCGGGGUCGCGGAGAGGGGCGCCCAGCUCCUCCGGGGGCAGCAGCAGCUCCGGCCCCAAGGGGAACGGGCUCAUCCCCAGCCCGGCGCACAGUGCCCACUGCAGCUUCUACCGUACGCGGACCCUGCAGGCCCUGAGCUCGGAGAAGAAGGCCAAGAAGGCGCGCUUCUACCGGAAUGGGGACCGCUACUUCAAGGGCCUGGUGUUUGCCAUCUCCGGCGACCGCUUCCGGUCCUUCGAUGCGCUGCUUAUGGAGCUCACCCGCUCCCUGUCGGACAACGUGAACCUGCCCCAGGGUGUCCGCACCAUCUACACCAUCGACGGCAGCCGGAAGGUCACCAGCCUGGACGAGCUGCUGGAAGGUGAGAGUUACGUGUGUGCGUCGAAUGAACCAUUUCGUAAAGUUGAUUACACCAAAAACAUUAAUCCAAACUGGUCUGUGAACAUCAAGGGUGGGACCACCCGAGCCGUGGCUGCCCCCUCCUCAGUGAAGAGUGAAGUGAAGGAAAGUAAAGAUUUCAUCAAACCCAAAUUAGUGACUGUGAUUCGAAGUGGAGUGAAGCCUAGAAAAGCAGUGCGGAUCCUUCUGAAUAAGAAGACUGCUCAUUCCUUCGAACAGGUCUUAACAGAUAUCACCGAAGCCAUUAAACUGGACUCAGGAGUGGUGAAGAGGCUCUGCACGCUGGACGGGAAGCAGGUUACUUGUCUGCAAGACUUUUUUGGUGAUGAUGAUGUUUUUAUUGCAUGUGGACCUGAAAAAUUCCGUUACGCCCAAGAUGACUUUGUCCUGGAUCACAGUGAAUGCCGCGUCUUGAAGUCAUCUUAUUCUCGCUCCUCAGCUGUUAAGUAUUCUGGAUCCAAGAGCCCUGGGCCUUCUCGACGCAGCAAAUCACCAGCUUCAGUAAAGAGGGGUGGCCACUACUCCAGGGCCUACUCUACGGCCAAAUCCCCAGUUAAUGGAACUCCCAGCAGCCAGCUUUCCACUCCUAAAUCUACAAAAUCCUCCAGUUCCUCUCCAACUAGCCCAGGAAGUUUCAGAGGAUUAAAGCAGAUUUCUGCACAUGGCCGAUCUUCUUCCAAUGUAAAUGGCGGGCCUGAACUUGAUCGUUGCAUGAGUCCUGAAGGUGUGAAUGGAAACAGGUGCUCUGAAUCGUCACCUCUUCUUGAGAAGUACAAAAUCGGGAAGGUUAUUGGUGAUGGCAACUUUGCAGUAGUCAAAGAGUGCAUGGACAGGUCCACAGGAAAGGAGUUUGCCCUAAAGAUUAUAGACAAAGCCAAAUGUUGUGGAAAGGAGCAUCUGAUUGAGAACGAAGUGUCGAUACUGCGCAGAGUGAAACAUCCAAAUAUCAUCAUGCUGGUUGAGGAGAUGGAAACAGCUACUGAGCUUUUUCUGGUGAUGGAAUUGGUCAAAGGUGGAGAUCUCUUUGAUGCAAUUACUUCUUCAACCAAGUACACUGAGAGAGAUGGCAGUGCCAUGGUGUACAACCUGGCCAACGCCCUCAGGUACCUCCAUGCCCUCAGCAUUGUGCACAGAGACAUCAAGCCAGAGAACCUCUUGGUGUGUGAAUAUCCUGAUGGGACCAAGUCUUUGAAACUGGGAGACUUCGGGCUGGCCACUGUGGUAGAAGGCCCUUUAUACACAGUCUGUGGCACCCCAACUUAUGUGGCCCCAGAAAUCAUUGCUGAAACCGGCUAUGGCCUGAAGGUGGACAUUUGGGCAGCUGGCGUGAUCACGUACAUACUGCUCUGUGGAUUCCCACCCUUCCGAAGUGAGAACAAUCUCCAGGAAGAUCUCUUCGACCAGAUCUUGGCUGGGAAGCUAGAGUUUCCGGCCCCCUACUGGGACAACAUCACAGACUCAGCCAAGGAAUUAAUCAGUCAAAUGCUUCAGGUAAACGUUGAAGCGCGGUGCACUGCGGGACAGAUCCUGAGUCACCCCUGGGUAUCAAUUGUUCCCCCGACCUUGUGGCUCAGAUGGGCCCAUUUAGGAGGAGAUGGUGGUGGUGACGGCUGGUGUGUGACUGCUGAGGAAGAGACAACAUAGACGUGAGAAUCAAAGGCAGUGUAUUUGAUUCUUUCCUGUAGGACGAUGCCUCCCAGGAGAAUAAUAUGCAGGCUGAAGUAACAGUUUGAUUUGACAGUUUGAGAGACACUUCAGAGUUUCACUCUGUACCCCGUUGAGACUCUGGGGACCCCGGAGCAGAAUUCUGGUAUUCAACAUGCUAUGCUUCAUCAGAGCCGCCUCUAAUUGUCACCCCUCUUAAAUCUGCAUGCUUCUCUUGGACUUUGACACCAGCAUCCAGCUCUCAGCUCCUCAUGGGUGCAGGUCUCCUGUACCUACUGACACCCGUUUCAGCCAAACGCAGCCUUGGAAACCUUACUUAAAACUUCUCGCCUUGCCACGUUGCCUUCCUUCCCAGACCAAAAGCUGGCGAGUGCACGGGAGGAGAACUCCAGUCGUUCUCCUGCUAAAGGCUGUUUUUCACUUAGGUGAAAAAGCAUCUUUCUGUGAAUGAGAGCAUGAGAUGGGGACCUUUGUGAAGGCUUUUGUUCUCUUUCUGCAAAUACAUUUCCAAAGAUGCAUUUUUAGCAGUAAGACAGUGUAGGGUCAGCUAGGCUUUGGGAUAGGAGAACACGAUUGGAUAGGAUUUUUGUUUAACACGGGCCUGUGGUUUCAGAAUGCACUUGCAUUUGCUCUGGCUUAUCCUUAGAUGCUUAAGAAAGGACCGUGCACCUGCAGAGGGGGCUCACCAUCUCGCCCAGAAGAGGCCAUCUCGUGGUGGGAAAGGGAAUGAUAAGAAACCCCUUCUCGCUGCAUUUUGCAGCCUUGUAGCUGACUGGAGAAAGGAUGGAUUCAAAAAGAGUGCUUCCCCACUCGGGGAUUAUGCUUCUUUCAGGGGGGAAGUUGGGAAGGAUUUGGGCUUAAGAUAGACAAAACUGUUUCGACUGUGUUGCUUCUGUUGAAAGUAAGUCUAGUUUCUGUCCCCGCUUCUCUCCUCGCCCCUCUUGCCUCUCACGCCGCCUGCAUUGCUUUCCUCUGACUAGGUCCCAGGCGAUGGUAUGUACUAACUGCACAGCAGUGCUUCCUUCCGCUGCACACAUGCGUCUUCUUGACGGGAAGGGAAGAGGAGAAAUAACUGCCGGACUGUUGCUUUCUUCUACCCAGGGGAAGUUUUAUGGUAGAAAAAAGUGAAUGCCACCUCUCCCCGCUUUCAGUGUUUUCACUGAGGGGUGGCCUGGCCUCUGCUCAUACUGGGAGCUUGGAAGCUUGUUAAAGAGCGAUGCUGAGUUUCUGAUUUGGCUUGUCCACAGUUACCUCUUCUCCAGGUAACGGAAAUUGUCCUUGGCAAUCCCUGAGCGUUCAGCCCGAGCUGGGAAGGGCCUGUGGAGAGCACCUGUCUUCCAGUUGACACCAAGUGCCCCAAAGGCAGCCGCCCAAGUCUGUCCUAGGAAGCCCCAUUGUUCAUAUUUUCUCCAGACUUUUUUUUCCUUCCAGUAAGAGUACUGGAAGAAUCAGUGGUGCAUUUCCCCCUCAAGGUGGUUAGACCACAAAAGGACUUCUGGUCCACGUGCCUUGUAGCUAAAGGUGCCUGAGAACCGAAAGCUCCGCACGUUUGGAAAACCCAGUGAGAGGGCUGCUGGCCCGGCCUGCCUGGCCAAGCAGACGUCCACAAGCCCACUCAGAGGAGGAGGAAGGCAGGUCAGGGCCAACCUCCCAGGCUAGGGUCAGGAGGUAAGACGACUUCUGCGCCCCUGGAGCAGGGGAGCAGGUUAAAGCCCUUGGGGGUGUGACAGCAUAAGACACCCGCACAAAGAAGAGAAGAGCAGGGAGGAGAUGGUGGAGGAUGGAAAGAUGGGUAAUGCAGCACCAUCGAUUCCCAGGGCUUCCAUAGGUUACGGGGCACCGGUGUGAUGGGGGUGGGUGGGAGGUACUUACUAUAGAUGACCUGUGAGUACUCUUCGAAUCCCCAACGGGGAACCUUUAGAAGAGUUAGCUGUCAGGGACCUUGCAUUCUUAUGGGGUUUGCUUCUUGUCCAGGACUCUUCUGGGCUCAGGGGCGUGGGGAGAAGCGCCCCCGAACCCAGGCAGCCGGGAGCCGGAGCCGGGGAGGAUCUGCCCAGGCCGCGUCCAGGGCAGUAGGAGCAGAGGCCGCGGCGCCGGGGACGGGCUGGCCCUUGGGCUGCCAUCGGGGGCAGCCGGGCGUUACUUCUCCUCUACUGUUCCCGCCGUGCAUGCUCUGCGCGCCCUGCUCGCGGUGCCGGGACCGAGGCGGCGGGCUAACUGUCUCCUGAUCUCUUCUCAGAACACGGCUCUAGAUAAGGAGGGCCAGAUCUUCGGCAGCAAGCUCGGCGCGGACGGCAGCCGGCCCGGCCUGGAGCCCGCUGCCCCGGGGCCCCCUGCCCCGGAGCCCUCUGCGUCC